UACGUAGGGGGCAAGCGUUGUCCGGAUUUAUUGGGCGUAAAGAGCGUGUAGGCGGCCAGACAGGUCCGUUGUGAAAACUCGAGGCUCAACCUCGAGAUGUCGAUGGAAACCGCCUGGCUAGAGUCCGGAAGAGGAGUGUGGAAUUCCUGGUGUAGCGGUGAAAUGCGCAGAUAUCAGGAAGAACACCUAUGGCGAAGGCAGCACUCUGGGACGGUACUGACGCUGAGACGCGAAAGCGUGGGGAGCGAACAGG
rnacentral:rRNA from 1 species